GAUGAACGCUGGCGGCGUGCCUAAUACAUGCAAGUCGAGCGAACUGAUUAGAAGCUUGCUUCUAUGACGUUAGCGGCGGACGGGUGAGUAACACGUGGGCAAUCUGCCUGUAAGACUGGGAUAACUUCGGGAAACCGAAGCUAAUACCGGAUAGGAUCUUCUCCUUCAUGGGAGAUGAUUAAAAGAUGGUUUCGGCUAUCACUUACAGAUGGGCCCGCGGUGCAUUAGCUAGUUGGUGAGGUAACGGCUCACCAAGGCAACGAUGCAUAGCCGACCUGAGAGGGUGAGCGGCCACACUGGAACUGAGACACGGCCCAGACUCCUACGGGAGGCAGCAGUAGGGAAUCUUCCGAAAUGGACGAAAGUCUGACGGUGCAACGCCGCGUGAGUGAUGAAGGCUUUCGGGUCGUAAAACUCUGUUGUUAGGGAAGAACAAGUACGAGAGUAACUGCUCGUACCUUGACGGUACCUAACCAGAAAGCCACGGCUAACUACGUGCCAGCCGCCGCGGUAAAAC
rnacentral:rRNA from 1 species